rnacentral:rRNA from 1 species
UCUUAGAUAUAAAUUAACCUUAUUUUACCAGAGUACUACGAACAUUAAGUUUAAAACUCAAAGAGCUUGGCGGUGCUUUAGACUCCUCAGGGGAACCUGUCCCAUAAUCGACAGUCCACGAACCAACCUCACCUUCUCUAGUAAAUCAGUAUGUAUACCGUCGUCGUCAGGUAACUUUUCAAAAUAUAGAAGUUAGCAAUUAAAAAAAUUAAUUUUCCACGUCAGAUCAAGGUGCAGCCCACGAAAAGGAGUGGAUGGGUUACAAUUAAUAUUUAUAAUCACGAAUUUAGCUUUUAACAAGUUUCUGAAGGCGGACUUGAAAGUAAACCCUAGCAACCAAAUGUUUUGAAUUAAGCUCUGAAGCG